GACUUUUACCGUAUAACUAGAACAUACGGCCGUUAGCUGUGCGGCCGAAAAUCUACUAUGCCGGCUUAAUGUCUAAAGAAUGAUUAGAAGGUUCAGGGAGUAACCGAUGCGAUGAAAGGCCUGACGCUUGGUCAAUCUCCCGAAUAAUAACAACAUUAGUUUUUAUACAUUAGGCUCAUGAAGGAUUUUAAUCUCGCAUCGUUCACUGUCUGGCUAUCUGCGCUUGGCUUAACAGCAAUAACGAAUAGAUUUUUUCGAAAUUUCUACACGCAGUAGCUAGCUCUACAGAUGGCGUAGCGGUGUCGUUCUUAGGACAACAUGUGUUAUGGCCAUUUGUUAUUUCCGUAGUUUAUUGCGGGAAGUUAGAUUACCUGAAGUAUGAGCGUGGCGCUUCGUUUCGCAAAUAAUUUGUGGAACUGCUCGAAUAAUCCAGAUUGCCUAUAGUACCAAACACAUCGCAAUCGAAGCCGAUGUUGCCGCUGGAAACCGCAGGUUCAUCAUUAGCGAUUGCUCACGUUGGCUAACUGGCGAUCUAUUCGUUUAACACUUGACGUUUAGCGUUUCAACUCCAUGUGUGUACGUGUUGGAAGGACUAAGCAAAUUCUAAGGCAUGUACCCAACUAGAUGACAGAGACGAUCAAGCUCCUGCUUCGAACCUCAUGAGGAAACGUAAAGUUCUUAUCCCAACGCUGUUAUUCCUGUCUGCUCUCGGUGGACGUAAGAUGACAUUGUCAAGAUUUUAAAGUGGACGAAGGCGGCACACGCAAGAUUAGCGUAUAGCGCUGCGGCUAUAUUUUAUUGGAUGAGAUAAAACAUGACAGAUCGUCACCGCAGCAGGAUCGCAAAAUUCACUAUAGCGUGAUUGUGUGCAACUACGCCGAUAAAUGAGCAGCUAAUGUACCGAUUCGGGAUCGACUGCAGGCCAAUAUUCAUCUAUAAAUCACCUAUAUUCUAAUCGAAUGAGCUACUAUUUAGAAUAAUCGGUAGUUGUGCAUUAUUGAUGGAUUUUAUAGAGGAAGCGUCCCCUCCUUUCCUAUAAUGACAGCCGUAAACUCAGAUGAUAGACCCAACUAUUCGCUUGUUCCCACACGCUUCGCGAAGCCAAAUUUAUUUCAAUCUUAUACUGGAUUUCUUAUACGAACGAAUUCCAAUAUACACCGGCUGGUAUCGCCAAUGAUUAGCUUAUCUACAGUCAGCCUUGAUCCUUCACUGUUGUCUUCACAGAUGGCGUUGGAGUAAAUCAAUGCGAAAAAAAUUCACAUAACGCGGACACCUUUAUAGGCGAAUUCUUUUAUAGCUUAUAUUGCGUUUCUACCUGCAGCAUAGAUUGGAUCUCCCUGCCAGUGAAUCCGCCAUACCGUCGACCAAUACCUGCUUCAAGAUAUCGCUGGUACCAAAAAACAGCUCAAAAUUGCAUCUCCCGACAGAGUUUUGCUAUUGCCUGUCUGCGUUUUGCCUGUACUCCUUCGGUCGUCUUUCCAGUCACAUCAGCUUUUGUAUCAGGUCAUCAGUAUGUAGUGAAUCAGGCAGUAUCUCUGCAAAUAGCCUAUGCGUUGGCCUGAUAUUUUCACGAUAAUCACAUUAUUUUCAGCACUCAAAAACGAAUUAGUGUACAAAUACCUAUGGGAAUGUUUUAUGUAUUAUGCACGGUGCUGCCGUUAGGCCUUGUUGCAGGGCUAGGUUCAACCACGCAAUGAAGCGCAUUUGUGGUAAGUCCAAGUGUCCACAAAUAAUCAUAUCUGCCUUGCUUUUAUAGCUUUGAGCAGUUGAAGACUUGGCAAGGUAAACAUAUAUCCUAUUAUGGCUCGGUGUAUUUCGAAUGGCUAUGACUUCGCUGACAUAAGAAAAGCCAAGCUGUGUCUUCUAGAUGCUUAGAAGAAUCCGAAAAGGCUCGGAGCGUAUAUGGUUGCUGCGUACCGAAUGUUUGAAGCCAUCAUUUUUAAUCGCUAUUAGUCUAAAGCUAGUCGUUUACCAUCUACACUUCAGUAUAGUCACUGUUUCAUCUGUAAUAUGAUGCAGGCAAGCCCUAACCAAUAAACGUUAUAACUUAACUAUAUGAAAAAAGAAAGUAUCAGCAUUUUUAGAAAUAACUGCAGUAUCAAGAUUGGUCGUCAUGGCCAAUUAUAUAGCUUCUCCUGACGUUUCUGAUUUCUUCUAGCAGAUAUUUUCGUAGGUUUAUCAUAAUCGCUGGAUUGGCGUCCAUUUUAGAACGAAGCACUUGCAUGUAUUAUUGCCUGUUAUAUCUUAACAACUGGAAUUAUAGUUAUGUAUGUUCUGCUGAACCCCUAACCCAGUUUCGUUUCACUCGUGCG